ensembl:snoRNA SNORD28 Small nucleolar RNA SNORD28
UUCAGAUUUUUUGAAUUGACAAGCUGAGGUUCUGUGACAAAUGACAGUUAAGAGCAUGUUAAAGUUGUUAUGAAA